rnacentral:rRNA from 1 species
UACGAAGGGGGCUAGCGUUGUUCGGAAUUACUGGGCGUAAAGCGUACGUAGGCUGAUUUGUAAGUAGGGGGUUAAAUCCCCAGGCUCAACCUGGGAACUGCCUUAUAGACUGCAAGUCUCGAGAUCAGGAGAGGCGAGUGGAAUUCCGAGUGUAGAGGCGAAAUUGGUAGAUAUACGGAGGAACACCAGUGGCGAAGGCGACUCGCUGGACUGAUACUGACGCUGAGGUACGAAAGCGUGGGGAGCAAACAGG